UUAAGCGACUAAGCGUACACGGUGGAUGCCCUGGCAGUCAGAGGCGAUGAAGGACGUGCUAAUCUGCGAUAAGCGUCGGUAAGGUGAUAUGAACCGUUAUAACCGGCGAUUUCCGAAUGGGGAAACCCAGUGUGAUUCGUCACACUAUCAUUAACUGAAUCCAUAGGUUAAUGAGGCGAACCGGGGGAACUGAAACAUCUAAGUACCCCGAGGAAAAGAAAUCAACCGAGAUUCCCCCAGUAGCGGCGAGCGAACGGGGAGGAGCCCAGAGCCUGAAUCAGUGUGUGUGUUAGUGGAAGCGUCUGGAAAGGCGCGCGAUACAGGGUGACAGCCCCGUACACAAAAAUGCACAUGCUGUGAGCUCGAUGAGUAGGGCGGGACACGUGGUAUCCUGUCUGAAUAUGGGGGGACCAUCCUCCAAGGCUAAAUACUCCUGACUGACCGAUAGUGAACCAGUACCGUGAGGGAAAGGCGAAAAGAACCCCGGCGAGGGGAGUGAAAAAGAACCUGAAACCGUGUACGUACAAGCAGUGGGAGCACAGAGCAAUCUGUGUGACUGCGUACCUUUUGUAUAAUGGGUCAGCGACUUAUAUUCUGUAGCAAGGUUAACCGAAUAGGGGAGCCGAAGGGAAACCGAGUCUUAACUGGGCGUUAAGUUGCAGGGUAUAGACCCGAAACCCGGUGAUCUAGCCAUGGGCAGGUUGAAGGUUGGGUAACACUAACUGGAGGACCGAACCGACUAAUGUUGAAAAAUUAGCGGAUGACUUGUGGCUGGGGGUGAAAGGCCAAUCAAACCGGGAGAUAGCUGGUUCUCCCCGAAAGCUAUUUAGGUAGCGCCUCGUGAAUUCAUCUCCGGGGGUAGAGCACUGUUUCGGCAAGGGGGUCAUCCCGACUUACCAACCCGAUGCAAACUGCGAAUACCGGAGAAUGUUAUCACGGGAGACACACGGCGGGUGCUAACGUCCGUCGUGAAGAGGGAAACAACCCAGACCGCCAGCUAAGGUCCCAAAGUCAUGGUUAAGUGGGAAACGAUGUGGGAAGGCCCAGACAGCCAGGAUGUUGGCUUAGAAGCAGCCAUCAUUUAAAGAAAGCGUAAUAGCUCACUGGUCGAGUCGGCCUGCGCGGAAGAUGUAACGGGGCUAAACCAUGCACCGAAGCUGCGGCAGCGACGCUUAUGCGUUGUUGGGUAGGGGAGCGUUCUGUAAGCCUGCGAAGGUGUGCUGUGAGGCAUGCUGGAGGUAUCAGAAGUGCGAAUGCUGACAUAAGUAACGAUAAAGCGGGUGAAAAGCCCGCUCGCCGGAAGACCAAGGGUUCCUGUCCAACGUUAAUCGGGGCAGGGUGAGUCGACCCCUAAGGCGAGGCCGAAAGGCGUAGUCGAUGGGAAACAGGUUAAUAUUCCUGUACUUGGUGUUACUGCGAAGGGGGGACGGAGAAGGCUAUGUUGGCCGGGCGACGGUUGUCCCGGUUUAAGCGUGUAGGCUGGUUUUCCAGGCAAAUCCGGAAAACUAAGGCUGAGGCGUGAUGACGAGGCACUACGGUGCUGAAGCAACAAAUGCCCUGCUUCCAGGAAAAGCCUCUAAGCAUCAGGUAACAUCAAAUCGUACCCCAAACCGACACAGGUGGUCAGGUAGAGAAUACCAAGGCGCUUGAGAGAACUCGGGUGAAGGAACUAGGCAAAAUGGUGCCGUAACUUCGGGAGAAGGCACGCUGAUAUGUAGGUGAAGUCCCUCGCGGAUGGAGCUGAAAUCAGUCGAAGAUACCAGCUGGCUGCAACUGUUUAUUAAAAACACAGCACUGUGCAAACACGAAAGUGGACGUAUACGGUGUGACGCCUGCCCGGUGCCGGAAGGUUAAUUGAUGGGGUCAGCGCAAGCGAAGCUCUUGAUCGAAGCCCCGGUAAACGGCGGCCGUAACUAUAACGGUCCUAAGGUAGCGAAAUUCCUUGUCGGGUAAGUUCCGACCUGCACGAAUGG
rnacentral:rRNA from 1 species